rnacentral:rRNA from 1 species
AUUGAACGCUGGCGGCACGCCUAACACAUGCAAGUCGAGCGGUAGCAUGAUCUGUAGCAAUACAGGUUGAUGACGAGCGGCGGACGGGUGAGGAACACGUAGGAACUUGCCCAAUAGAGGGGGAUAACUAAGGGAAACUUUAGCUAAUACCGCAUAUUCUCGAGAGAGGAAAGCUGCCCGCAAGGGUGGCGCUAUUGGAGAGGCCUGCGUCCGAUUAGCUAGUUGGUGAGGUAAAGGCUCACCAAGGCGAUGAUCGGUAACUGGUCUUAGAGGACGACCAGUCACACUGGGACGGAGACACGGCCCAGACUCCUACGGGAGGCAGCAGUGGGGAAGCUUGGACAAUGGGGGCAACCCUGAUCCAGCGAUGCCGCGUGAGUGAAGAAGGCCUUCGGGUCGUAAAGCUCUUUAGGUUGGGAGGAAGGCUAGUAUUUUAAGAGAUAACUAGUUUGACUGUACCGACAGAAUAAGCACCGGCAAACUCUGUGCCAGCCGCCGCGGUAAAAC